GUAAGCAAUCAUUGGUGCAUCAUGACCACUGGACCCACCCCAACCUGCAUAACUCACAGAUUUAUAAAAAAGCAUCACGUUCAGCGGCAUUUUGACAUGGAUCAUGGAUUCAAUGGCUGUAGUAGUGAAGAUA